rnacentral:rRNA from 1 species
CAGUAGCCGCGGGAAUACGAAGGGGGCUAGCGUUGUUCGGAUUAACUGGGCGUAAAGGGUGCGUAGGCGGGUUUUUAAGUCAGAGGUGAAAUCCCAAGGCUCAACCUAGGAAUUGCAUUUGAUACUGUUUGGCUUGAGUUCGGGAGAGGUGAGUGGAAUUCCCAGUGUAGAGGUGAAAUUCGUAGAUAUUGGGAAGAACACCAGUGGCGAAGGCGGCUCACUGGACCGACACUGACGCUGAGGCGCGAAAGCGUGGGGAGCAAACAGGAUUAGAGACCCCUGUAGUCCCUGUCUCUUAUAC